rnacentral:rRNA from 1 species
GAUGAACGCUGGCGGCGUGCUUAACACAUGCAAGUCGAACGGAAAGGCUCCUGCUCGCAGGGGUACUCGAGUGGCGAACGGGUGAGUAACACGUGGGUGAUCUGCCCAGCACUUCGGGAUAAGCCUGGGAAACUGGGUCUAAUACCGGAUAGGACGAUGGUUUGGACGCCAUUGUGGAAAGUUUUUUCGGUGUGGGAUGAGCUCGCGGCCUAUCAGCUUGUUGGUGGGGUAAUGGCCUACCAAGGCGUCGACGGGUAGCCGGCCUGAGAGGGUGGACGGCCACAUUGGGACUGAGAUACGGCCCAGACUCCUACGGGAGGCAGCAGUGGGGAAUAUUGCACAAUGGGCGCAAGCCUGAUGCAGCGACGCCGCGUGGGGGAUGACGGCCUUCGGGUUGUAAACUCCUUUCGCUAGGGACGAAGCGCAAGUGACGGUACCUGGAGAAGAAGCACCGGCUAACUACGUG